UACGAGGGGGGCGAGCGUUGUUCGGAAUUAUUGGGCGUAAAGGGCGCGUAGGCGGUCUGAUAAGUCUGAUGUGAAAUCUCUGGGCUCAACCCAGAGUCUGCAUUAGAAACUGUCGGGCUUGAGUAUGGGAGAGGUGCGUGGAAUUUCCGGUGUAGCGGUGAAAUGCGUAGAUAUCGGAAGGAACACCUGUGGCGAAAGCGGCGCACUGGACCAAAACUGACGCUGAGGCGCGAAAGCUAGGGGAGCAAACAGG
rnacentral:rRNA from 1 species